ACGGGUGAGUAACGCGUGGGAAUCUACCUUUUGCUACGGAAUAACUCAGGGAAACUUGUGCUAAUACCGUAUGUGCCCUUCGGGGGAAAGAUUUAUCGGCAAAGGAUGAGCCCGCGUUGGAUUAGCUAGUUGGUGGGGUAAAGGCCCACCAAGGCGACGAUCCAUAGCUGGUCUGAGAGGAUGAUCAGCCACACUGGGACUGAGACACGGCCCAGACUCCUACGGGAGGCAGCAGUGGGGAAUAUUGGACAAUGGGCGCAAGCCUGAUCCAGCCAUGCCGCGUGAGUGAUGAAGGCCCUAGGGUUGUAAAGCUCUUUCACCGGUGAAGAUAAUGACGGUAACCGGAGAAGAAGCCCCGGCUAACUUCGUGCCAGCAGCCGCGGUAAUACGAAGGGGGCUAGCGUUGUUCGGAUUUACUGGGCGUAAAGCGCACGUAGGCGGACUUUUAAGUCAGGGGUGAAAUCCCAGAGCUCAACUCUGGAACUGCCUUUGAUACUGGAAGUCUUGAGUAUGGUAGAGGUGAGUGGAAUUCCGAGUGUAGAGGUGAAAUUCGUAGA
rnacentral:rRNA from 1 species